rnacentral:rRNA from 1 species
GAUGAACGCUGGCGGCGUGCCUAAUACAUGCAAGUCGAGCGAACAGACGAGGAGCUUGCUCCUCUGACGUUAGCGGCGGACGGGUGAGUAACACGUGGAUAACCUACCUAUAAGACUGGGAUAACUUCGGGAAACCGGAGCUAAUACCGGAUAAUAUAUUGAACCGCAUGGUUCACUAGUGAAAGACGGUUUUGCUUUCACUUAUAGAUGGAUCCGCGCCGCAUUAGCUAGUUGGUAAGGUAACGGCUUACCAAGGCAACGAUGCGUAGCCGACCUGAGAGGGUGAUCGGCCACACUGGAACUGAGACACGGUCCAGACUCCUACGGGAGGCAGCAGUAGGGAAUCUUCCGCAAUGGGCGAAAGCCUGACGGAGCAACGCCGCGUGAGUGAUGAAGGUCUUCGGAUCGUAAAACUCUGUUAUUAGGGAAGAACAAAUGUGUAAGUAACUAUGCACGUAUUGACGGUACCUAAUCAGAAAGCCACGGCUAACUACGUG